UACGUAGGGCGCAAGCGUUGUCCGGAAUUAUUGGGCGUAAAGAGCUCGUAGGCGGUCUGUCGCGUCGGCUGUGAAAACCCGGGGCUCAACCCCGGGCCUGCAGUCGAUACGGGCAGACUAGAGUGCGGUAGGGGAGACUGGAAUUCCUGGUGUAGCGGUGGAAUGCGCAGAUAUCAGGAGGAGCACCGGUGGCGAAGGCGGGUCUCUGGGCCGAUACUGACGCUGAGGAGCGAAAGCGUGGGGAGCGAACAGG
rnacentral:rRNA from 1 species